rnacentral:rRNA from 1 species
GACCUCGGAUCAGGUAGGGAUACCCGCUGAACUUAAGCAUAUCAAUAAGCGGAGGAAAAGAAACCAACAGGGAUUGCCUCAGUAACGGCGAGUGAACAGGGAA